AGAGCGAACGCUGGCGGCAGGCUUAACACAUGCAAGUCGAGCGGGCGUAGCAAUACGUCAGCGGCAGACGGGUGAGUAACGCGUGGGAACGUACCUUUUGGUUCGGAACAACACAGGGAAACUUGUGCUAAUACCGGAUAAGCCCUUACGGGGAAAGAUUUAUCGCCAAAAGAUCGGCCCGCGUCUGAUUAGCUAGUUGGUGAGGUAACGGCUCACCAAGGCGACGAUCAGUAACUGGUCUGAGAGGAUGAUCAGCCACAUUGGGACUGAGACACGGCCCAAACUCCUACGGGAGGCAGCAGUGGGGAAUCUUGCGCAAUGGGCGAAAGCCUGACGCAGCCAUGCCGCGUGGAUGAUGAAGGUCUUAGGAUUGUAAAAUCCUUUACGACCGGGGACGAUAAUGACGGUACCGGAGAAGAACGCCCCGGCUAACUUCGUGCCAGCAGCCGC
rnacentral:rRNA from 1 species